GAGGAUAGCCCCGGGAAACUGGGAGUAAAUACUCGAUACGCCCUCAGGGGGAAGGAAGGAUCAGCCCGCGUCUGAUUAGGUAGUUGGUGGGGUAAUGGCCUACCAAGCCUACGAUCAGUAGCUGGUUUUAGAGGAUGAUCAGCCACACUGGGACUGAGACACGGCCCAGACUCCUACGGGAGGCAGCAGUGAGGAAUCUUAGACAAUGGGCGCAAGCCUGAUCUAGCCAUGCCGCGUGAGUGAUGAAGGCCUUAGGGUCGUAAAGCUCUUUCGCCAGGGAUGAUAAUGACAGUACCUGGUAAAGAAACCCCGGCUAACUCCGUGCCAGCAGCCGCGGUAAUACGGAGGGGGUUAGCGUUGUUCGGAAUUACUGGGCGUAAAGCGCGCGUAGGCGGACUGGAAAGUUGGGGGUGAAAUCCCAGGGCUCAACCCUGGAACUGCCUCCAAAACUAUCAGUCUAGAGUUCGAGAGAGGUGAGUGGAAUUCCGA
rnacentral:rRNA from 1 species